rnacentral:rRNA from 1 species
AGUGAGCGCUGGCGGCGUGCUUAACACAUGCAAGUCGAACGAGAACGGAUUAUAGCUUGCUAUAAUUGUCAGCUGAGUGGCGCACGGGUGAGUAAUGUAUAGGUAGUAUGCCUCUUACUAAGGGAUAACAAAUGGAAACGUUUGCUAAUACCUUAUACUCCUUAUUAACAUAAGUUAAUAAGGGAAAGAUUUAUUGGUAAGAGAUUAGCCUGUAUUGUAUCAGUUAGUUGGUGGGGUAAUGGCUUACCAAGACUAUGACAAGUAACUGGUUUGAGAGGAUGAUCAGUCACACUGCAACUGAGACACGGUCCAGACUCCUACGGGAGGCAGCAGUGGGGAAUAUUGCACAAUGGACGAAAGUCUGAUGCAGCAACGCCGCGUGGAGGAUGACACAUUUCGGUGCGUAAACUCCUUUUAUAUGAGAAGAUAAUGACGGUAUUAUAUGAAUAAGCACCGGCUAACUCCGUGCCAGCCGCCGCGGUAA